rnacentral:rRNA from 1 species
AUGAGGAUACUUGACGCGUGCCUCACACCGAUGAAUGGGAGAGACCAUACCAGCACAAUGCAUCCCCCAGCGGGCUGCUGGGCGCAGCACCCCGGCGAUAGACGCGUGCCUCGCGGCGACGAAGGGGCGGCGGUCGCCCAGCAUGAUGCAGCCCCUGGCCGUCGUGGCACAAAUCCGCCAGGCCAAACCGGCUCGAUGCGGCUACCUCGCAGCUUAGCGCAUCUCCGCGGGACAGAUCUGGACCGGCUGGACUUCAUACAGAGGUGUGCGGCGCGGGGGAAAGAACCUGUUAGCUGGGAGAUAGGGAGAGGCAUCUUGGAGGGUUCUGGAAGGGAAAGGAGACUAAGAGACAGCCGUUGGAUCUGGAAGGAUUGUACGGUGAGGAUGGGCGAUCCGCGUGAAGGGAGGAUGGACCAAUCAGAUUGCAGGUAUUCACUCUGGAUCGAUGGGAAACUUAAACUUGUGAAGGAUCCUUAUCAGCUGUUAGAGAGAUUCUUGUGGAGGAAAAAUGUGCGCUUCGCUAUUUCUAGGCAUUAUAGACGCUUUGAUGUCCUUGAGGAAGCUAAGGCCAACAAGGCUGCUGGGAAGUACGAUAAUGCUUCAAUUGAUAACCAAAUAGAGUUCUACAAGAGAGAGGAUGUUCCUAAGGGCUGUGUAAUUAUAGGAGAGCACAAACCCAUCACCAAUCUAUUCACAUGCCUUUUGCUCAAUGAAGUUGAUCGUUCCACCUCAAGAGAUCAGCUAAGCUUUAGCACAGCGAGGGAUAAAAUAAGAUCAAGAGUUCUUUUCAACAACUAA